rnacentral:misc_RNA from 1 species
CAACCCUCCAGCGAGUGGAGCUUUCACAACGUCCGCCGCCUGCUGCCGACCGCGAACAUUGCGGCGUCGAAGCAUCCGGUCCCGCUGGAAAGUUCGCUGGUCGAAAUCGGCGACGUUGCCUUCGAAGGCAACAAGGGCCGGACCACAUUGCGCGAGGCGUUGCGCACGACGAACACCAAGGGGUUUCUCGUUCUGAGGCGCGGCCGGAUUGCAGCCGAGUGGUACGCAGGCGGCAUGGAUGCCACGACGCCGCAC